UUAACACAUGCAAGUCGAGGGGCAGCGAGAGGGUAGCAAUACCUUUGUCGGCGACCGGCGCACUGGUGAGUAACACGUAUGCGACCUGCCCCGGACAGGGGGAUAAACCCGGGAAACUGGGCCUAAUACCCCAUAUGCCUCGGUGAUGCAUGUCAUUGGGGUGAAAGAUCCGUCGGUCCGGGAUGGGCAUGCGGCGCAUUAGCUAGUUGGCGGGGCAACGGCCCACCAAGGCGACGAUGCGUAGGGGUUCUGAGAGGAAGGUCCCCCACACUGGUACUGAGACACGGACCAGACUCCUACGGGAGGCAGCAGUGAGGAAUAUUGGUCAAUGGACGGUAGUCUGAACCAGCCAAGUCGCGUGCGGGAUGAAGGCCCUCCGGGUCGUAAACCGCUUUAGACGGGGAGUAACGUGGGGCACGUGUGCCCCAGUGAGAGUACCCGUAGAAUAAGCAUCGGCUAACUCCGUGCCAGCAGCCGCGGUAAUACGGAGGAUGCGAGCGUUAUCCGGAUUUAUUGGGUUUAAAGGGUGCGCAGGCGGCAGGUCAAGUCAACGGUCAAACUG
rnacentral:rRNA from 1 species